CAACAUCACUUCUUUACCUUGCUAAAGCUAAUGAUCGUACAUGGACAAACUUUUUACUUUCUUCAAUUACUCAAAAUCAAUAUUGUAUAUAUCUUUAAUCAAAGAGCGUACAUAAUUAGAUGUAAAUAUUUAAUGAUACACUUACGACAACAUCAGAAUGCAUAUUAAAAGUGUUAACCUCAAUUUCUUUGUGACUAAUCAAUU
rnacentral:lncRNA from 1 species